rnacentral:rRNA from 1 species
UACGUAGGGUGCAAGCGUUAAUCGGAAUUACUGGGCGUAAAGCGUGCGCAGGCGGUUUUGUAAGUCUGUCGUGAAAUCCCCGGGCCACCACUGGGAAUUGCGAUGGAGACUGCAAGGCUAGAAUCUGGCAGAGGGGGGGUAGAAUUCCACGUGUAGCAGUGAAAUGCGUAGAGAUGUGGAGGAACACCGAUGGCGAAGGCAGCCCCCCUGGGUCAAGAUUGACGCUCAUGCACGAAAGCGUGGGGGAGCAAACAGG